rnacentral:rRNA from 1 species
CCUACGGGAGGCAGCAGUGGGGAAUAUUGCACAAUGGGGGAAAGCCUGAUGCAGCGACGCCGCGUGAGUUAAGAAGGAAUUCGUUAUGUAAAGCUCUAUCAGCAGGGAAGAAAAUGACGGUACCUGAGUAAGAAGCCCCGGCUAACUACGGGCCAGCAGCCGCGGGAAUACGUAGGGCGCAAGCGUUAUCCGGAUUUACUGGGUGUAAAGGGAGCGUAGACGGCAGUGCAAGUCUGGAGUGAAAGGCGGGGGCUCAACCCGCGGACUGCUCUGGAAACUGGACGGCUGGAGUGCAGGAGAGGUAAGUGGAAUUCCUGGUGUAGCGGUGAAAUGCGUAGAUAUUAGGAGGAACACCAGUGGCGAAGGCGGCUUACUGGACUGUAACUGACGUUGAGGAUCGAAAGCGUGGGUAGCAAACAGGAUUAGAUACCCGGGUAGUC